GUUAUAUGGUCAAGUGAAGAAGCGCAUACGGUGGAUGCCUUGGCAGUCAGAGGCGAUGAAAGACGUGGUAGCCUGCGAAAAGCUUCGGGGAGUCGGCAAACAGACUGUGAUCCGGAGAUGUCUGAAUGGGGGAACCCAGCCAUCAUAAGAUGGUUAUCUUGUACUGAAUACAUAGGUGCAAGAGGCGAACCAGGGGAACUGAAACAUCUAAGUACCCUGAGGAAAAGAAAUCAACCGAGAUUCCCUUAGUAGUGGCGAGCGAACGGGGACCAGCCCUUAAGUUGUAUUGAGAUUAGCGGAACACUCUGGAAAGGGUGGCCAUAGUGGGUGAUAGCCCUGUACGCGAAAAUCCCUUUGCAAUGAAAUCGAGUAGGACGGGGCACGAGAAACCUUGUCUGAAUAUGGGGGGACCAUCCUCCAAGGCUAAAUACUACUGACUGACCGAUAGUGAACCAGUACCGUGAGGGAAAGGCGAAAAGAACCGCGGAGAGCGGAGUGAAAUAGAUCCUGAAACCGUAUGCGUACAAGCAGUGGGAGCCCACUUUGUUGGGUGACUGCGUACCUUUUGUAUAAUGGGUCAGCGACUUAUUUUCAGUGGCGAGCUUAACCGAAUAGGGGAGGCGUAGCGAAAGCGAGUCUUAAUAGGGCGUCUAGUCGCUGGGAAUAGACCCGAAACCGGGCGAUCUAUCCAUGGGCAGGUUGAAGGUUGGGUAACACUAACUGGAGGACCGAACCGACUACCGUUGAAAAGUUAGCGGAUGACCUGUGGAUCGGAGUGAAAGGCUAAUCAAGCUCGGAGAUAGCUGGUUCUCCUCGAAAGCUAUUUAGGUAGCGCCUCAUGUAUCACUGUAGGGGGUAGAGCACUGUUUCGGCUAGGGGGUCAUCCCGACUUACCAAACCGAUGCAAACUCCGAAUACCUACAAGUGCCGAGCAUGGGAGACACACGGCGGGUGCUAACGUCCGUCGUGAAAAGGGAAACAACCCAGACCGUCAGCUAAGGUCCCAAAGUCAUGGUUAAGUGGGAAACGAUGUGGGAAGGCUUAGACAGCUAGGAGGUUGGCUUAGAAGCAGCCACCCUUUAAAGAAAGCGUAAUAGCUCACUAGUCGAGUCGGCCUGCGCGGAAGAUGUAACGGGGCUCAAACCAUGCACCGAAGCUACGGGUAUCAUCUUAGGAUGAUGCGGUAGAGGAGCGUUCUGUAAGCCUGUGAAGGUGAGUUGAGAAGCUUGCUGGAGGUAUCAGAAGUGCGAAUGCUGACAUGAGUAACGACAAUGGGUGUGAAAAACACCCACGCCGAAAGACCAAGGUUUCCUGCGCAACGUUAAUCGACGCAGGGUUAGUCGGUCCCUAAGGCGAGGCUGAAAAGCGUAGUCGAUGGAAAACAGGUUAAUAUUCCUGUACUUCUGGUUAUUGCGAUGGAGGGACGGAGAAGGCUAGGCCAGCCUGGCGUUGGUUGUCCAGGUUUAAGGUGGUAGGCUGAGAUCUUAGGUAAAUCCGGGAUCUCAAGGCCGAGAGCUGAUGACGAGUGUUCUUUUAGAACACGAAGUGGUUGAUGCCAUGCUUCCAAGAAAAGCUUCUAAGCUUCAGGUAACCAGGAACCGUACCCCAAACCGACACAGGUGGUUGGGUAGAGAAUACCAAGGCGCUUGAGAGAACUCGGGUGAAGGAACUAGGCAAAAUGGCACCGUAACUUCGGGAGAAGGUGCGCCGGUGGAGGUGAAGCAUUUACUGCGUAAGCCCCUGCCGGUCGAAGAUACCAGGCCGCUGCGACUGUUUAUUAAAAACACAGCACUCUGCAAACACGAAAGUGGACGUAUAGGGUGUGACGCCUGCCCGGUGCCGGAAGGUUAAUUGAUGGGGUUAGCGCAAGCGAAGCUCUUGAUCGAAGCCCCGGUAAACGGCGGCCGUAACUAUAACGGUCCUAAGGUAGCGAAAUUCCUUGUCGGGUAAGUUCCGACCUGCACGAAUGGCGUAACGAUGGCGGCGCUGUCUCCACCCGAGACUCAGUGAAAUUGAAAUCGCUGUGAAGAUGCAGUGUAUCCGCGGCUAGACGGAAAGACCCCGUGAACCUUUACUAUAGCUUUGCACUGGACUUUGAAUUUGCUUGUGUAGGAUAGGUGGGAGGCUUUGAAGCGUGGACGCCAGUCUGCGUGGAGCCAACCUUGAAAUACCACCCUGGCAACUUUGAGGUUCUAACUCAGGUCCGUUAUCCGGAUCGAGGACAGUGUAUGGUGGGUAGUUUGACUGGGGCGGUCUCCUCCUAAAGAGUAACGGAGGAGUACGAAGGUGCGCUCAGACCGGUCGGAAAUCGGUCGUAGAGUAUAAAGGCAAAAGCGCGCUUGACUGCGAGACAGACACGUCGAGCAGGUACGAAAGUAGGUCUUAGUGAUCCGGUGGUUCUGUAUGGAAGGGCCAUCGCUCAACGGAUAAAAGGUACUCCGGGGAUAACAGGCUGAUACCGCCCAAGAGUUCAUAUCGACGGCGGUGUUUGGCACCUCGAUGUCGGCUCAUCACAUCCUGGGGCUGAAGCCGGUCCCAAGGGUAUGGCUGUUCGCCAUUUAAAGUGGUACGCGAGCUGGGUUUAGAACGUCGUGAGACAGUUCGGUCCCUAUCUGCCGUGGACGUUUGAGAUUUGAGAGGGGCUGCUCCUAGUACGAGAGGACCGGAGUGGACGAACCUCUGGUGUUCCGGUUGUCACGCCAGUGGCAUUGCCGGGUAGCUAUGUUCGGAAAAGAUAACCGCUGAAAGCAUCUAAGCGGGAAACUUGCCUCAAGAUGAGAUCUCACUGGAACCUUGAGUUCCCUAAAGGGCCGUCGAAGACUACGACGUUGAUAGGUUGGGUGUGUAAGCGCUGUGAGGCGUUGAGCUAACCAAUACUAAUUGCCCGUGAGGCUUGACCAUAUAACACCCAAGCAAUU
rnacentral:rRNA from 1 species